AUGAUGCCUAGAUUAUGCAAUCAAACAAAUUUUGUGCAUAUAUAUAAAAAAUAUAAAAAAGACAUGGUGUUCAAAGGCCACUUUAAACAGACAAUCAGAAUAAUGAAUAAAAUUAAGCUUAACAUUACAUCUGCAUUGUACUUCCAUGCCAAGAAGAGAAGGAAGCCUCACUUUUCCUGGAAUAUACACUUGCCCAUCAAUGGGGGCCUACAACCUGGAGUUCAUCUGCAGAUCUACAACCUUAAGAGAAUGGGUGAAAAUAAUGGCAGAAGACACAUUUUUACAGUGCAACAAUACUUUGUUAACCACUUAAUUUAA
rnacentral:rRNA from 1 species